rnacentral:rRNA from 1 species
UACGGAGGGUGCGAGCGUUGUCCGGAAUCACUGGGCGUAAAGGGCGCGUAGGCGGCCGUGUAAGUCACUUGUGAAAUCCCGGGGCUCAACUCCGGGGCUGCAGGUGAGACCUGCGUGGCUAGAGCUUGGUAGAGGCGAGUGGAAUUCCCGGUGUUCAGCGGUCGGAAUGCGUAGAUAUCCGGGAAGAACACCGGUGGGCGAAGGCGGCAUGCUGGGACAAUUCGCUUGACGCUGAGGCGCGGAAAGGCAGUGGGGGAGGCAAAACAGG